AGGGUUUGAUUCUGGCUCAGGAUGAACGCUGGCGGCGUGCUUAACACAUGCAAGUCGAACGAACCUUCGGGUUAGUGGCGGACGGGUGAGUAACGCGUGAGAAUCUGCCCUCAGGAGGGGGAUAACGGUUGGAAACGACCGCUAAUACCCCAUAUGCCUACUGGUGAAAUGAAUUUCGCCUGAGGAUGAGCUCGCGUCUGAUUAGCUAGUUGGUGAGGUAAUGGCUCACCAAGGCUUCGAUCAGUAGCUGGUCUGAGAGGAUGAUCAGCCACACUGGGACUGAGACACGGCCCAGACUCCUACGGGAGGCAGCAGUGGGGAAUUUUCCGCAAUGGGCGAAAGCCUGACGGAGCAACGCCGCGUGAGGGGCGAAGGCCUCUGGGCUGUAAACCUCUUUCCUCAAGGAAGAAGAUAUGACGGUACUUGAGGAAUAAGCCACGGCUAAUUCCGUGCCAGCCGCCGCGGUAAUUC
rnacentral:rRNA from 1 species